rnacentral:lncRNA from 12 species
GUGAAAUCCAAGGUUAAAUUGGCAGCUUCUGGCAAAAACCUUCCAAAACUGAGGGUAAACCCACACCAGCUCUGUGGGCUGGUGUCCAGGCUGCCCUAAUUUAAUGUGGGGUGUCCUUGAGAGGAAUCAAUGAAAGCAGCAGGUGAGGAGUUCUGAGCAGGGAACAAACAUUUGGGUUCUGUGGUGGGAGCUCUUCUGAGCAGCCCAGGGGUGAGGCAGAGAUUUCCCCCUGCACCCACGGGGCAAAACAUGACUUUUUUUUCUCAUCCUGACCGUGGGAAGAGACAGGGAGGCACCCCUAGGUCCUUGUGCCGCCAAAACACGGGAACUGAAGCUCCGAGGUUGCCGCUAAAGCAAUUAAUUAGAAAGGAAGCGGGAUGCCUGCAGCAGUGCUCUGCUCUCAGGGUGCAAUACUCACUCCUCACCAAGCAGGGUCAGCCCUGCACCAUCUGAGCACCGAAAUCACCCGGGAACGGCUGCUCUGCUUCAGAAGAUGUCCCUGCCCCUGAGCAGCAGGAGAGGCUCCAGCUCGCUCCUGAAGAACUGCAGGGUCAGCCUGGCAAAGGUCAAGUGCCAGAAGUUUUGUCAAGCCAGUAAAACCCAGAGCAGAAGCAAAGCUGAGCUGAGGUCACAGCUGGCAGCCAGGCACAAAAUCAGACCCAUGCCCGAGUUUCUCAGUUUGUUACUUUAUUAGAGAGGUUUUUACAUCAUGCUGGUGCCCCCAGUGAGGAUAUUUUACAAAAUAUUAAAAAAACCCUUUUUAUUCGAAGCCACAUUUUAAAAAAUCGUGUCCCUUCCCCCCCUGAAAAGCAAGCUGGGUUUGAUCGUGGUUCCUUUUGAAUAGAGAACAAAAAAAAAAAAAAAAAUCCUCUUUUGGAAGGAGAGCAGAUGAUAACCAGGCUGUAAACAUGACAGUCAGAUGAUGUGCCCCCCUUCUAGGUGAGGAACAUGGUACUGGACACACCCAGGAGUACCCAGUACCCAUGGUACUGGACACAAAACACGAAACUGAGUGGACAGAGCCUUUCCUACCUCGUUAGCAGGGCUGUGGUGUCUCUGAAAUCCAGCUGGACUGAGGAAGGGAUGGCUGAUUUACCACAGGGCACCAGCUUCGGGAGCCCCCAGGGACGGUUUGUGAAUGUGCAGAGAGGGAGGAUGCCCCCGGGCUGGGGGAGAAGGCAGCAGUGCCCCUCAGCUGAGGGAGGUGACAGUGCUGUGACAGUGGCGCUGGCUCUGACUCCUGUGGCACAGCACAGCCCCAGCCUGACCCCAGCAGGAGCAGAACCACCGGGGCUGCUGUGA